rnacentral:tRNA from 1 species
CGGGGUGUAGCGCAGUCAGGUUAGCGCGCGUCGUUCGGGACGACGAGGUCGGUGGUUCGAAUCCACUCACCCCGACAA